CAAAGACACCGUAAUCUAUUAAAUACGUAUGACGUCAAGGGCAUUUUAAUUUUCUGAGCGAUAAAGAUCCACAGUGAGAGGAGAGGGAAGCAUGAACAGUGAAGAAAGAGCAUUAGGGUUUGUUGGCCUCCGGCUCCUCCUCCUUGUCUGUUGUAGCAAUAUUUGACUCUAGGAUUCCAGUGUUGCGUCGAGACGUAGUCGGGAGGGAGGAAUGGUGAGGGGAUCCAUCGGGAAGCUCAUCGCCGGGUCUCUCGCCCUCGCUAGGAGGUGGCAGAAGCAGCAACUGCGGCGGCUCAACGUCCAUGAGUACCAGGGUGCUGAAUUGAUGAGCAAGUAUGGCAUAAAUGUACCAAAGGGAGUCGCAGCUUCAUCCAUUGAGGAAGUGAAGGAGGCUGUCAAAUCUGUAUUUCCCAGUGGGAAAGAGGUUGUAGUAAAAAGCCAAAUUCUUGCUGGUGGGAGAGGCUUGGGGACCUUCAAAAGUGGACUAAAGGGUGGAGUGCAUAUUGUUAAAACUGAGGAGGUGGCUGAUAUUGCUGGUUUCACUGAAGUGCCUGUUGUGGUUCGUCUGGAGGGCACCAAUGUAGAUCAAGGAAAGAGAAUUCUCAAGGAGAGUGGAAUGACUUUGAUCACAGCGGAAGACUUGGAUGAUGCAGCAGAAAAAGCAGUGAAAGCUGCUGCUCAAUAGUGAAUUUCUCGCACAAAGAUGAAUUUUCUGAAAUAAAAUUAUUUUGCUUCACUGAGCUGUGAGGACCUGACCAACAGCGCCAUGUAAUUCAGAAAGAAAGCUUCUACGUGAUUGCACUCUUUGGCCACAUAUGGCCAAAACAAAAUUAUGUGGCAAGUCCCUCUUGACAUCCUCUGUUGAUACGCCCAUGUUGCUCGGCGGAAAGGUGUUCAACGAUAUGCUCGACGUGAUGUUGUCUCGUGGAAAAACUUCGAUUACUGAUGUGCAUUGUUAGUCCGACUCAAUAGGCAUGCGUUUGAUUCUGAUGACUCUCCUUGGGAACAACUUGAUCAAUAUUGAUGCCAAGUUGCUAAUACUUGUUUUCAUUACCAGAAUGAUCAAUAUAAUGAAAUGUACGCAUUGCCUUUUCA